rnacentral:rRNA from 1 species
GAUGAACGCUGGCGGCGUGCCUAAUACAUGCAAGUCGAGCGAAUGGAUUAAGAGCUUGCUCUUAUGAAGUUAGCGGCGGACGGGUGAGUAACACGUGGGUAACCUGCCCAAGACUGGGAUAACUCCGGGAAACCGGGGCUAAUACCGGAUAACAUUUUGAACCGCAUGGUUCGAAAUUGAAAGGCGGCUUCGGCUGUCACUUAUUGAUGGACCCGCGUCGCAUUAGCUAGUUGGUGAGGUAACGGCUCACCAAGGCAACGAUGCGUAGCCGACCUGAGAGGGUGAUCGGCCACACUGGGACUGAGACACGGCCCAGACUCCUACGGGAGGCAGCAGUAGGGAAUCUUCCGCAAUGGACGAAAGUCUGACGGAGCAACGCCGCGUGAGUGAUGAAGGCUUUCGGGUCGUAAAACUCUGUUGUUAGGGAAGAACAAGUGCUAGUUGAAUAAGCUGGCACCUUGACGGUACCUAACCAGAAAGCCACGGCUAACUACGUGCCAGCCGCCGCGGUAA